rnacentral:rRNA from 1 species
UUAAAUUGAAGAGUUUGAUCAUGGCUCAGAUUGAACGCUGGCGGCAGGCCUAACACAUGCAAGUCGAACGGUAACAGGAAGCAGCUUGCUGCUUCGCUGACGAGUGGCGGACGGGUGAGUAAUGUCUGGGAAACUGCCUGAUGGAGGGGGAUAACUACUGGAAACGGUGGCUAAUACCGCAUAACGUCGCAAGACCAAAGAGGGGGACCUUUGGGCCUCUUGCCAUCAGAUGUGCCCAGAUGGGAUUAGCUUGUUGGUGAGGUAACGGCUCACCAAGGCGACGAUCCCUAGCUGGUCUGAGAGGAUGACCAGCCACACUGGAACUGAGACACGGUCCAGACUCCUACGGGAGGCAGCAGUGGGGAAUAUUGCACAAUGGGCGCAAGCCUGAUGCAGCCAUGCCGCGUGUAUGAAGAAGGCCUUCGGGUUGUAAAGUACUU